UGACACAAUGUUGAAUUUCAUCAUCCACAAGGUUUACAUCACAAAGUCUUAUGAUAUGGGAGGCUAAUUGUCCAAGCCUGAAUGUAAUGGCAUCUAAUUGUUCUGAAUCUAAAUUUUGUAGCUGUCUUAAAAGAUCCACCAAUGACCCCCUUAACUGCACUCUCAAAGUUUCCUGUUGUUCAUUCAUUGUGUCACACUCAUUGUGUCCAAUUUACUGUGGUUAGAUCUGAACUAAACUGAAAGAGAAGAAUUGUUAAAAUAGCUUUAAUUGUGUCGAUCUAAAUGAAAUUGGAGCAAUAUAUUAGAAUAGAUUAUUAUGGUUUAAUUGUGC